GGGUUGUGAGGUUAAGCGACUAAGCGUACACGGUGGAUGCCCUGGCAGUCAGAGGCGAUGAAGGACGUGCUAAUCUGCGAUAAGCGUCGGUAAGGUGAUAUGAACCGUUAUAACCGGCGAUUUCCGAAUGGGGAAACCCAGUGUGAUUCGUCACACUAUCAUUAACUGAAUCCAUAGGUUAAUGAGGCGAACCGGGGGAACUGAAACAUCUAAGUACCCCGAGGAAAAGAAAUCAACCGAGAUUCCCCCAGUAGCGGCGAGCGAACGGGGAGCAGCCCAGAGCCUGAAUCAGUGUGUGUGUUAGUGGAAGCGUCUGGAAAGGCGCGCGAUACAGGGUGACAGCCCCGUACACAAAAAUGCACAUACUGUGAGCUCGAUGAGUAGGGCGGGACACGUGGUAUCCUGUCUGAAUAUGGGGGGACCAUCCUCCAAGGCUAAAUACUCCUGACUGACCGAUAGUGAACCAGUACCGUGAGGGAAAGGCGAAAAGAACCCCGGCGAGGGGAGUGAAAAAGAACCUGAAACCGUGUACGUACAAGCAGUGGGAGCACAGAGCAAUCUGUGUGACUGCGUACCUUUUGUAUAAUGGGUCAGCGACUUAUAUUCUGUAGCAAGGUUAACCGAAUAGGGGAGCCGAAGGGAAACCGAGUCUUAACUGGGCGUUAAGUUGCAGGGUAUAGACCCGAAACCCGGUGAUCUAGCCAUGGGCAGGUUGAAGGUUGGGUAACACUAACUGGAGGACCGAACCGACUAAUGUUGAAAAAUUAGCGGAUGACUUGUGGCUGGGGGUGAAAGGCCAAUCAAACCGGGAGAUAGCUGGUUCUCCCCGAAAGCUAUUUAGGUAGCGCCUCGUGAAUUCAUCUCCGGGGGUAGAGCACUGUUUCGGCAAGGGGGUCAUCCCGACUUACCAACCCGAUGCAAACUGCGAAUACCGGAGAAUGUUAUCACGGGAGACACACGGCGGGUGCUAACGUCCGUCGUGAAGAGGGAAACAACCCAGACCGCCAGCUAAGGUCCCAAAGUCAUGGUUAAGUGGGAAACGAUGUGGGAAGGCCCAGACAGCCAGGAUGUUGGCUUAGAAGCAGCCAUCAUUUAAAGAAAGCGUAAUAGCUCACUGGUCGAGUCGGCCUGCGCGGAAGAUGUAACGGGGCUAAACCAUGCACCGAAGCUGCGGCAGCGACGCUGAUGCGUUGUUGGGUAGGGGAGCGUUCUGUAAGCCUGUGAAGGUGUGCUGUGAGGUAUGCUGGAGGUAUCAGAAGUGCGAAUGCUGACAUAAGUAACGAUAAAGCGGGUGAAAAGCCCGCUCGCCGGAAGACCAAGGGUUCCUGUCCAACGUUAAUCGGGGCAGGGUGAGUCGACCCCUAAGGCGAGGCCGAAAGGCGUAGUCGAUGGGAAACAGGUUAAUAUUCCUGUACUUGGUGUUACUGCGAAGGGGGACGGAGAAGGCUAUGUUGGCCGGGCGACGGUUGUCCCGGUUUAAGCGUGUAGGCUGGUUUUCCAGGCAAAUCCGGAAAAUCAAGGCUGAGGCGUGAUGACGAGGCACUACGGUGCUGAAGCAACAAAUGCCCUGCUUCCAGGAAAAGCCUCUAAGCAUCAGGUAACAUCAAAUCGUACCCCAAACCGACACAGGUGGUCAGGUAGAGAAUACCAAGGCGCUUGAGAGAACUCGGGUGAAGGAACUAGGCAAAAUGGUGCCGUAACUUCGGGAGAAGGCACGCUGAUAUGUAGGUGAAGUCCCUCGCGGAUGGAGCUGAAAUCAGUCGAAGAUACCAGCUGGCUGCAACUGUUUAUUAAAAACACAGCACUGUGCAAACACGAAAGUGGACGUAUACGGUGUGACGCCUGCCCGGUGCCGGAAGGUUAAUUGAUGGGGUUAGCGCAAGCGAAGCUCUUGAUCGAAGCCCCGGUAAACGGCGGCCGUAACUAUAACGGUCCUAAGGUAGCGAAAUUCCUUGUCGGGUAAGUUCCGACCUGCACGAAUGGCGUAAUGAUGGCCAGGCUGUCUCCACCCGAGACUCAGUGAAAUUGAACUCGCUGUGAAGAUGCAGUGUACCCGCGGCAAGACGGAAAGACCCCGUGAACCUUUACUAUAGCUUGACACUGAACAUUGAGCCUUGAUGUGUAGGAUAGGUGGGAGGCUUAGAAGUGUGGACGCCAGUCUGCAUGGAGCCGACCUUGAAAUACCACCCUUUAAUGUUUGAUGUUCUAACGUUGACCCGUAAUCCGGGUUGCGGACAGUGUCUGGUGGGUAGUUUGACUGGGGCGGUCUCCUCCUAAAGAGUAACGGAGGAGCACGAAGGUUGGCUAAUCCUGGUCGGACAUCAGGAGGUUAGUGCAAUGGCAUAAGCCAGCUUGACUGCGAGCGUGACGGCGCGAGCAGGUGCGAAAGCAGGUCAUAGUGAUCCGGUGGUUCUGAAUGGAAGGGCCAUCGCUCAACGGAUAAAAGGUACUCCGGGGAUAACAGGCUGAUACCGCCCAAGAGUUCAUAUCGACGGCGGUGUUUGGCACCUCGAUGUCGGCUCAUCACAUCCUGGGGCUGAAGUAGGUCCCAAGGGUAUGGCUGUUCGCCAUUUAAAGUGGUACGCGAGCUGGGUUUAGAACGUCGUGAGACAGUUCGGUCCCUAUCUGCCGUGGGCGCUGGAGAACUGAGGGGGGCUGCUCCUAGUACGAGAGGACCGGAGUGGACGCAUCACUGGUGUUCGGGUUGUCAUGCCAAUGGCACUGCCCGGUAGCUAAAUGCGGAAGAGAUAAGUGCUGAAAGCAUCUAAGCACGAAACUUGCCCCGAGAUGAGUUCUCCCUGACCCUUUAAGGGUCCUGAAGGAACGUUGAAGACGACGACGUUGAUAGGCCGGGUGUGUAAGCGCAGCGAUGCGUUGAGCUAACCGGUACUAAUGAACCGUGAGGCUUAACCUUACAACGCCGAAGGUGUUU
rnacentral:rRNA from 1 species